CCUCCAAACCCACCCACCCCCUGAGCCCAUCCUCUUCCUCCCCUGGCCAGCUGGCUCCUGGUGGGCUUUGGCCACUCGCCCUGACUCGAUGCUCAGCAGGUCACAGCUCAGAGCCUUGUGACAGGAACCAGGAGCUCCUGGAAGGGAGGUGCUGAGCCCACUGGCACUCAGCUCUCCCCAACCCUGCUCAUCCAGCAGUGACCAGGACCCCACACCAGAGGGGUUCCAGGCCAUUCCCAGUCACCUCAAGGUGGACAACCCCCACUUUACAAACCUUCACAAAGGUUUUUUGCUUUGUUCACCAGCCCUGGGGAGGUCAGGAAGGGGUGUUUGACGCUGUGUUUGUUCCUAUCAGGUGUCAGCAGAGCAGCUGGAGCUGUGCUGCGCCCGCAGAGCUAACCACAGGUAUUUUAGCAGCCUGGUGUUUAUGUUUCCCAUCCCUGCUGCAGCAAGACAAUUGCUUUUUGUCACUGUUGUAGCAACAACUGCUGCUCCAGGCCAGGCUAAUUCCAGCCCUCGUGGGUUUGGGGCCGUUUGUUCUCACCCAGCAGCAGCAAACAGGUUGUUUUGGGGACAGGCAGUAAAACAGCUCGAGGUGGAGGCAGGAUUUGUGCUGCUCUGACUGGAUUUGUGCUGCCAGGGAGCGAUCCCUGGCUCCAUGGGAUGCUGCCUGCUCUGAGUUUGGGAUGGGAUCUUGAAAGAUUAAGUUUGCCAGGCUCUGCUUCAGGAUUUGUCUCUAAGUCUUAGACUUUGCAGGUGAACAGGUGGAAAAAAAAUCCACAUAAACCAAAUAAUUUGUCAGUUUUCUGUGGGGAAAAAAAGGGAGCUGUGGGUUCCAAACAUCUCUGCCCAGGACUGUGCCCACAGCUGGAGCUGCAGCCUUGCCCUGUGCCACCCUCCCCUCUCCUGGAGCUCUGCAAUAUCUCAGUUAUUUGACAAAUCAGAGGAGUCAGAUCGGGAAGGAAAUCAGCUCUCCCCAGGUUUCUGACUUUCAUCAGACAUGGCAGGACCAAACCAGCAGAAAGUGGAGCAAAACCACCCCUUUGCUGCCCUUCACUCCCACCCCAGCCGGGCUUGGUGGGGCUCUGAUCCCUCAGGAUCCCUCCCAAACCCUGGGAUGGGCUCUCUCCUGAUCCCAGGGUGAAGUUCCGAGCUCCUUUUCUCUUCCUUUCCUUUCCCUUCCUUUCCCUUCCUUUCCCUUCCUUUCCCUUCCUUUCCCUUCCUUUCCCUUCCGCCUUCCUGCCUUGCCCAGCCGGGGGUGUUUAAUGUGCGGCCGGCGUGCCCUGCAUUGGAACCACUGAAAAGGAGCCUGAAAAGGAGCCUGGAAGGCUCGGGGCCUCUUAAUUGCAGAGGAGGGGGAGCAUGGAAAAGCCUCUGGCUGCUGCUGCUGCAGGAGAAGGGGCUGCUCGGGAGGCACAGCCUUGCCCCGGGCUGGGACCCAACCCCAGGAACGCGCCUGCAGCGAGGGCCGGCGGCGGGGCUGGAGGGCCGGAUGCCGCUGAGAGGAUGAGAACAUGGGGCUCAGGUUAUCCUGCCUGAAAGCUUUGUUUUCUCAUUCCCGUGCUUGCCCUGCACCUUUUGCUCUGGAGAACCCAUGGGUUCAGUGAAUCAGGCCUGAAGAUGUGUGUGAGCAGCGGCAACGGCAGCGAGGGGACCCCGAGGGCGGCACAGAAGCGCCUCCACGUGCCCUCCAUCAUCGUCACCCCGCCCACGCCCACGGGCACCGCGCUGGCCCGCCGUGGGGAGGGCCCCUCACCCUGCAGCCCCUGCUGAGAGAGGGGACACCGGGGACACCCACGUCGGGAUGGAGCCACAGCCCCCAGGGCACGGCUGCUGCUGCCAGGGACACGGGGGGCACCCACACGGGUGGGUUUGGACACCUGGGAUCGGGGUUUGUCCCUUUUCCUGGCAGCGACGGGGAGGGGGAUCCUCCCCAUGGUGAAUAAAACCCCAUGGGCUCUGCA